rnacentral:rRNA from 1 species
CGGCAACAGCUCAAAUUUGAAAUCUGGUCCCCUCUGGGGGCCCGAGUUGUAAUUUGUAGAGGAUGCUUUUGGUGCGGCGCCAGCUGAGUUCCCUGGAACGGGACGCCAUAGAGGGUGAGAGCCCCGUCACGCUGGACGCUAAGCCUCUGUAAAGCUCCUUCGACGAGUCGAGUAGUUUGGGAAUGCUGCUCAAAUUGGGAGGUAUAUGUCUUCUAAAGCUAAAUACCGGCCAGAGACCGAUAGCGCACAAGUAGAGUGAUCGAAAGAUGAAAAGCACUUUGAAAAGAGAGUUAAACAGUACGUGAAAUUGUUGAAAGGGAAGCGCUCAUGACCAGACUUGGGCUGGGAGAAUCAUCCGGCGUUCUCGCCGGUGCACUUCGCCCUGCCCAGGCCAGCAUCAGUUCGUCGCGGGGGACAAAAGCUUCGGGAACGUGGCUCCUCCGGGAGUGUUAUAGCCCGUUGCAUAAUACCCUGCGGUGGACUGAGGUUCGCGCAUCUGCAAGGAUGCUGGCGUAAUGGUCAUCAGCGACCCGUCUUGAAACACGGACCAAGGAGUCGUCUUCGUAUGCGAGUGUUCGGGUGUCAAACCCCUACGCGUAAUGAAAGUGAACGCAGGUGAGAGCUUCGGCGCAUCAUCGACCGAUCCUGAUGUUCUCGGAUGGAUUUGAGUAAGAGCAUACGGGGCCGGACCCGAAAGAAGGUGAACUAUGCCUGUAUAGGGUGAAGCCAGAGGAAACUCUGGUGGAGGCUCGCAGCGGUUCUGACGUGCAAAUCGAUCGUCAAAUAUGGGCAUGGGGGCGAA